UGGGGCAGGAGAGGAUGGUCACAGCCAAGGUCUCAGGCAAGUUCCUGGGAUGGGCCACCAAGUGAAGGUCCUUGGUUUCUUGCAGGAAAGAAUUCAAGAUCAAGCCACAGUAAAGUGAAAGCAGGGAACACACAUCCCACAGAGAGAACACCGUCAGCCUCAGAAGGGUUAUGCCCUGGCCGCCUUCCCUCCUGUCUCAGUUCAGUUGUCACCAUCUCUGUGCACUGGAUCUACACUGGAGCAGAACAAGUUGGCAGCACCUGAGGCUAUUUCAGUGUUCCUGUCUACCUCUGUGAAUGCGACGGAUCCACAGAGGAGGGAACCAAGUCCCAGAAUCCAGUGAUGUUAGCAUGUUUGGUGUGAGUUCAGCCUGCAACCCUCAUGGAAUCUCUGUGUACUCAAAGAUGAGAACUCAAUGAAAAGAUCUGCAUUCCCCACAGGUACAGAGGGCAGAGAAAGUCAAGUGUGUGCAAUUGACAGAA